rnacentral:rRNA from 1 species
AUUGAACGCUGGCGGCAGGCCUAACACAUGCAAGUCGAACGAGCGGCGGACGGGUGAGUAAUGUCUGGGAAACUGCCUGAUGGAGGGGGAUAACUACUGGAAACGGUAGCUAAUACCGCAUACCCUCGGAUGUGCCCAGAUGGGAUUAGCUAGUAGGUGGGGUAACGGCUCCCUUAGGCUACGAGCCCUAGCUGGUCUGAGAGGAUGACCAGUCACACGGGAACUGAGACACGGUCCAGACUCCUACGGGAGGCAGCAGUGGGGAAUAUUGCACAAGGGGCGCAAGCCUGAUGCAGCCAUGCCGCGUGUAUGAAGAAGGCCUUCGGGUUGUAAAGUACUUUCAGCGGAGAGGCGUUACCCGCAGAAGAAGCACCGGCUAACUCCGUGCCAGCAGCCGCGGUAAUAC